AAUAUCAUAAACAGCUAUACAAUGGUAACCAUAUCUGAGAUUAAAUCUUUAGGGGUUUUAGCAACUUUAAUUAAAAAAGUCACCAAAACAGAGAGACAGCAUUUUUUCGAGGCUCUGUAUUUCAUAUAUUCAGGUAAAGACUACUUGCUGUGCUGUUUGUAAUGACACUAAAUGGUGACAUCCAAUGUUACUAUGACCACCAGCUAGAACAGGAGGAUUAAAACAAUCUGACUAGAAGACUGCCAGCUACAGAUAAACAGAUAUCUGUCUGUUUUACCUGAUUUGUAUUACCAAAAAGUCUUUUAUGUAAGCCUUUCCUCACUGCAUAUAUUUCUGGUGUCUUUCCACUUUUUAUGUUUGCAGCAGCAAAGAAUAUUCAUUACUCUGCCUCAGAGACUUGGGAGUUGUACUAGUAUCUCCUGAGUAACUGUCUUCAUUAUUUCAGUUAUUCAACCAUAAAAAGAGAAAAGUAGGGAAAAUGAAAAGAAACCUUCUCAAAUCCAACCUCACAGCUAACAGCUAGGCUGCUGAGCUAGCAAAGAACCCAUUGAUCCACAUCACAACUGCAGAAAUUUCUUGCUAAGUGCCUCAUCCACCUAAACUACCAAACCACAAAUCCCCUGGCACAAGAACCAUUGUAGUAGUCUACAUCAGGUAGUGGCUAAACUCCCUUCUAGUUUGGCUCCAUCAAUAUUAUUUUACUUACGCAUUAGAUUUCCUAUACAGAACAUUACUUCUAUAGUCAUGGAAAGAUGAAACUUCAUACAACAAAACUUGAGUAGCCAAUAAAAAGAAGGUAAUUUGGUGAUCAAAAACUUAUCUCCACCCUCAAAUCACUCAUUUCCUAUUCUUCAUAGCCUUUUCUCUUUCUAUUGCUUCCUCUGCCAAGAAUAAUUCUCACAUUUCUUACUUUUCCAGAUUUUUCCUGAGACUUUUCUCAUUGGCUUCCUCAAAUUUACCUUUCAUUACAGGAGAUAAUCACCUGAGAUUUAUCUUUAGUGAGACUCUGAUCCAACUGCAGUAUCCUUCUGUAUUUCCCAGGAGAAUAAACAUUUCUAGCACAAUAAGCUGUAAGCAGCCUAUCACUAGGCUGCCCAUCUAUAUGUCCUCAAGUUUGUAUGUUUUGAUCAUCUCAAAACACAGUUGGCAGUAGUUUAACAUCUGUUCCCAUGGAAUACAUCUCUUUCCUGAAAUCCAAGAUAAACUGGUAUAACAGUAUAAAUCAGAGUAUUAAGAGGAGGCACAGUAGUAUUAACUGUGCUAAUAAUGCCAUAAAUAAAAACAAUGCAAUACUGACUUCUAACACUAAGAUAUUAAAUGGAGCAAAAUUCUUCUAUGCCACUACAGCGGGGCAAAUGCAUCAACAUAAUUCUGCUGCCAUACAAUCACUUACAGAAGUAACUGCAGAGAAUUCCUUUUCAGAUUCCAGUUGUCUUGACUGCUGUUCUGCAGAUGACUUAUUCUUUUCCUCUGUAACACAAUCUUUUAUUUAUAUGCAAAAGGCCCUAUUACAACAACUUGGAACAAAGCCUGAUUUUGUCAAGUAGUUGAUUUAAAGGAUUUGCAUUUCUAAACAUUCUGUAUGCAUUUUAAUGCACUUAAAUAU
ensembl:lncRNA